UCUACAGGCUUAACACAUGCAAGUCGAGGGGCAGCAUGGUCUUAGCUUGCUAAGGCCGAUGGCGACCGGCGCACGGGUGAGUAACACGUAUCCAACCUGCCGUCUACUCUUGGACAGCCUUCUGAAAGGAAGAUUAAUACAAGAUGGCAUCAUGAGUCCGCAUGUUCACAUGAUUAAAGGUAUUCCGGUAGACGAUGGGGAUGCGUUCCAUUAGAUAGUAGGCGGGGUAACGGCCCACCUAGUCUUCGAUGGAUAGGGGUUCUGAGAGGAAGGUCCCCCACAUUGGAACUGAGACACGGUCCAAACUCCUACGGGAGGCAGCAGUGAGGAAUAUUGGUCAAUGGGCGAGAGCCUGAACCAGCCAAGUAGCGUGAAGGAUGACUGCCUUAUGGGUUGUAAACUUCUUUUAUAAAGGAAUAAAGUCGGGUAUGGAUACCCGUUUGCAUGUACUUUAUGAAUAAGGAUCGGCUAACUCCGUGCCAGCAGCCGCGGUAAUACGGAGGAUUCGAGCGUUAUCCGGAUUUAUUGGGUUUAAAGGGAGCGUAGAUGGAUGUUUAAGUCAGUUGUGAAAGUUUGCGGCUCAACCGUAAAAUUGCAGUUGAUACUGGAUAUCUUGAGUGCAGUUGAGGCAGGCGGAAUUCGUGGUGUAGCGGUGAAAUGCUUAGAUAUCACGAAGAACUCCGAUUGCGAAGGCAGCCUGCUAAGCUGCAACUGACAUUGAGGCUCGAAAGUGUGGGUAUCAAACAGGAUUAGAUACCCUGGUAGUCCACACGGUAAACGAUGAAUACUCGCUGUUUGCGAUAUACGGCAAGCGGCCAAGCGAAAGCGUUAAGUAUUCCACCUGGGGAGUACGCCGGCAACGGUGAAACUCAAAGGAAUUGACGGGGGCCCGCACAAGCGGAGGAACAUGUGGUUUAAUUCGAUGAUACGCGAGGAACCUUACCCGGGCCUAAAUUGCAGAUGAAUUACGGUGAAAGCCGUAAGCCGCAAGGCAUCUGUGAAGGUGCUGCAUGGUUGUCGUCAGCUCGUGCCGUGAGGUGUCGGCUUAAGUGCCAUAACGAGCGCAACCCUUGUUGUCAGUUACUAACAGGUUCUGCUGAGGACUCUGACAAGACUGCCAUCGUAAGAUGUGAGGAAGGUGGGGAUGACGUCAAAUCAGCACGGCCCUUACGUCCGGGGCUACACACGUGUUACAAUGGGGGGUACAGAGGGCCGCUACCACGCGAGUGGAUGCCAAUCCCAAAAACCUCUCUCAGUUCGGACUGGAGUCUGCAGCCCGACUCCACGAAGCUGGAUUCGCUAGUAAUCGCGCAUCAGCCACGGCGCGGUGAAUACGUUCCCGGGCCUUGUACACACCGCCCGUCAAGCCAUGGGAGCCGGGGGUACCUGAAGUGCGUAACCGCGAGGAGCGCCCUAGGGUAAAACUGGUGACUGG
rnacentral:rRNA from 1 species